rnacentral:lncRNA from 1 species
GAGCAAGCUUCCUUCAGAGACCAGUUAUUUAAUACAAGUCUUUCUAAGGGGCAGCUUCUUGUACAGCUUUGUCUGACACGUGAAACAUUUGGUGCCAAAACCCGGGUCAGCGGGACUCCUUCGGGAGACCAGUCCACUGUCCUCAUCCUCGCUCUGUGAAGAGAUCCACCUACGACCUCGGGUCCUCAGACCAACCAGCCCAAGGAACAUCUCACCGAUUUUAAUUGGGACCCCACUGGAAAUUGGACUGUCCAACUGGCCCAAGGCUCUAACUGACUCCUUCCCAGAUCUUCUCGGCUUAGCAACUGAAGACUGACACUGCCCGAU